CACAGGGGACAGUGAAGGACUCAGGUUAGAAACAGCAGGAUGGCCAGGCAGAAGUUGGGUAUCCUUGGUAGAUGAAGACAGCCUGUGACAAUCCCACAAGGAAGGAGAUAGUAUCUUGACUCCCUUUUCUCCCUGUGAUCUUUUCUAGAUGCUCCUCAUUGGCUGAAUUCAAUAAGAAGCCAGGGGGACGGGAGCCUGUUAAAUGCAGCCCAUCCCUUGAUAGAAUCCAGCCAGUCUCUUGGGCCGUGGAGCAGGUGGAGAAUGGAUCUGAAGGGUCAAGUGGAACAUACCCAGCUGACUCGGCUUCCUGGAGGUAUUUUGAUGCUUAAAAGGAAGGAGGAAGAGGAGAGAAGCAGAAGAUGCAUAUUUAAAAAUCCUAUUAGGAUACUGACAGCAGCCUUAAUCACUGGAGGAAUUUUACUUCUUUUUACACCUGCAGCUAUAUAAAGCAGUAGUUCCCUGGCUAAUUGAAAUAAAAUGAUACUGAAAUUGC